rnacentral:rRNA from 1 species
AGGACGAACGCUGGCGGCGUGCCUAACACAUGCAAGUCGAGCGGGAUCCAACUAGAAGCAAUUCUAGGGAAGAUCUAGCGGCGAACGGGUGAGUAACACGUGAGGAACCUGCCCCGAAGUCUGGGAUAACCCGAGGAAACUCGAGCUAAUACCGGAUGUCCUCCUUUGACCGCAUGGUCAGCUGAGGAAAGAUUUAUCGCUUCGGGAGGGCCUCGCGGCCUAUCAGCUAGUUGGUGGGGUAACGGCCCACCAAGGCGUCGACGGGUAGCUGGUCUGAGAGGACGAUCAGCCACACUGGGACUGAGACACGGCCCAGACUCCUACGGGAGGCAGCAGUGGGGAAUCUUGCGCAAUGGGCGAAAGCCUGACGCAGCAACGCCGCGUGCGGGACGAAGGCCUUCGGGUUGUAAACCGCUUUCAGGAGGGACGAAAUUGACGGUACCUCCAGAAGAAGCCCGGCCAACUACGUGCCAGCAGCCGCGGUAA